AUUGAACGCUGGCGGCAGGCCUAACACAUGCAAGUCGAACGAUUGGCGGACGGGUAAGUAAUGUCUGGGAAACUGCCCGAUGGAGGGUGAUAACUACUGGAAACGGUAGCUAAUACAGCAUACCAUCGGAUGUGCCCAGAUGGGAUUAGCGAGUAGGUGGGGUAACGGCUAACCUAGGCGACGAUCCCUAGCUGGUCUGAGAGGAUGACGAGCCACACUGGAACUGAGAGACGGGCCAGACUCCUCCGGGAGGCAGCAGUGGGGAAUAUCGCACAAUGGGCGCAAGCCUGAUGCAGCCAUGCCGCGGGUAUGAAGAGGGCCUUCGGGUUGUAAAGUACUUUCAGCGAGGAGGCGUUACUAGCAGAAGAAGCACCGGCUAACUCCGUGCCAGCCGCCGCGGUAAUUC
rnacentral:rRNA from 1 species